rnacentral:rRNA from 1 species
GAUGAACGCUGGCGGCGUGCCUAAUACAUGCAAGUCGAGCGAACAGACGAGGAUCUUGCUCCUCUGACGUUAGCGGCGGACGGGUGAGUAACACGUGGAUAACCUACCUAUAAUACUGGGAUAACUUCGGGAAACCGGAGCUAAUACCGGAUAAUAUAUUGAACCGCAUGGUUCAAUAGUGAAAUACGGUUUUUCUGUCUCUUAUAGAUUGUUCCGCGCCGCAUUAGCUAGUUGGUAAGGUAACGGCUUACCAAGGCAACGAUGCGUAGCAGACCUGAGAGGGUGAUCGGCCACACGGGAACUGAGACACGGACCAGACAACUACGGGAGGAAGCAGUAGGGAAUAUUACGCAAUGGGCGAAAGCAUGACGGAGCAAAGCCGCGUGAGUGAUGAAGGUCUUCGGAUCGUAAAACUCUGUUAUUAGGGAAGAAAAAAUGUGUAAGUAACUAUGCACGUAUUGACGGUAACUAAUCAGAAAGCAACGGCUAACUACGUG